CCCUUAGAUGUCCGGGGCCGCACGCGCGCUACACUGAAGGAAUCAGCGUGGCUUUCUCCCUGACCCGAAAGGGUUGGGAAACCCGUUGAAUCUCCUUCGUGAUAGGGAUUGGGGCUUGAAAUUGUUCCCCAUGAACGAGGAAUUCCCAGUAAGCGCGAGUCAUCAGCUCACGUUGAUUACGUCCCUGCCCUUUGUACACACCGCCCGUCGCUCCUACCGAUUGAAUGUGCCAGUGAAAAGUUCGGAUUGGAGAUAGGAGACGGCAACGUAUCCUAUUUCCGAGAAAAUCUUUAAACUUUCCCAUUUAGAGGAAGGAGAAGUCGUAACA
rnacentral:rRNA from 1 species